UGAUCCUGGCUCAGGAUAAACGCUGGCGGCGCACAUAAGACAUGCAAGUCGAACGAACUUAAUUCAUUCUUUUAGAUUGGAAGCAGUUAGUGGCGGACUGGUGAGUAACGCGUGAGCAACCUGCCUAUUAAAGGUGAUUAACUUGGAUAAAUCAUUGCUAAUAGCUCAUAUGCUUGCACUAUUGCCAUGAUAGAUUAAUGUAAAGUGUAGCAUUCCGCUAAUAUAUGGGCUCGCGGCUGAGUAGCUUGUUGGUGGGGUAGAAGCCUACCAAUGCGACCAUCAGUAGCCGGACUGAGAGGUUGAACGGCCACAUUGGGACUGAGAUACGGCCCAGACUCCUACGGGAGGCAGCAGUCGGGAAUAUUGCGCAAUGGAGGGAACUCUGACGCAGUGACGCCGCGUAUAGGAAGAAGGUUUUCGGAUUGUAAACUAUUGUCGUUAGGGAAGAAAAAAGACAGUACCUAAGGAGGAAGCCCCGGCUAACUAUGUGCCAGCAGCCGCGGUAAUACAUAGGGGGCAAGCGUUAUCCGGAAUUAUUGGGUGUAAAGGGUGCGUAGACGGGUGUUUAAGUUGGUUGUGAAAUCCCUCGGCUCAACUGAGGAACUGGCACCAAAACUGGAUAUCUUGAGUGUCGGAGAGGAAAGUGGAAUUCCUAGUGUAGCGGUGAAAUGCGUANAUAUUAGGAGGAGCCCCAGUGGCG
rnacentral:rRNA from 1 species